UGAGGCAGCCAGCGCAGGGGCUUCUGCUGAGGGGGCAGGCGGAGCUUGAGGAAACCGCAGAUAAGUUUUUUUCUCUUUGAAAGAUAGAGAUUAAUACAACUACUUAAAAAAUAUAGUCAAUAGGUUACUAAGAUAUUGCUUAGCGUUAAGUUUUUAACGUAAUUUUAAUAGCUUAAGAUUUUAAGAGAAAAUAUGAAGACUUAGAAGAGUAGCAUGAGGAAGGAAAAGAUAAAAGGUUUCUAAAACAUGACGGAGGUUGAGAUGAAGCUUCUUCAUGGAGUAAAAAAUGUAUUUAAAAGAAAAUUGAGAGAAAGGACUACAGAGCCCCGAAUUAAUACCAAUAGAAGGGCAAUGCUUUUAGAUUAAAAUGAAGGUGACUUAAACAGCUUAAAGUUUAGUUUAAAAGUUGUAGGUGAUUAAAAUAAUUUGAAGGCGAUCUUUUAAAAAGAGAUUAAACCGAAGGUGAUUAAAAGACCUUGAAAUCCAUGACGCAGGGAGAAUUGCGUCAUUUAAAGCCUAGUUAACGCAUUUACUAAACGCAGACGAAAAUGGAAAGAUUAAUUGGGAGUGGUAGGAUGAAACAAUUUGGAGAAGAUAGAAGUUUGAAGUGGAAAACUGGAAGACAGAAGUACGGGAAGGCGAAGAAAAGAAUAGAGAAGAUAGGGAAAUUAGAAGAUAAAAACAUACUUUUAGAAGAAAAAAGAUAAAUUUAAACCUGAAAAGUAGGAAGCAGAAGAAAAAAGACAAGCUAGGAAACAAAAAGCUAAGGGCAAAAUGUACAAACUUAGAAGAAAAUUGGAAGAUAGAAACAAGAUAGAAAAUGAAAAUAUUGUCAAGAGUUUCAGAUAGAAAAUGAAAAACAAGCUAAGACAAGUAUUGGAGAAGUAUAGAAGAUAGAAAAAUAUAAAGCCAAAAAUUGGAUAAAAUAGCACUGAAAAAAUGAGGAAAUUAUUGGUAACCAAUUUAUUUUAAAAGCCCAUCAAUUUAAUUUCUGGUGGUGCAGAAGUUAGAAGGUAAAGCUUGAGAAGAUGAGGGUGUUUACGUAGACCAGAACCAAUUUAGAAGAAUACUUGAAGCUAGAAGGGGAAGUUGGUUAAAAAUCACAUCAAAAAGCUACUAAAAGGACUGGUGUAAUUUAAAAAAAACUAAGGCAGAAGGCUUUUGGAAGAGUUAGAAGAAUUUGGAAGGCCUUAAAUAUAGUAGCUUAGUUUGAAAAAUGUGAAGGACUUUCGUAACGGAAGUAAUUCAAGAUCAAGAGUAAUUACCAACUUAAUGUUUUUGCAUUGGACUUUGAGUUAAGAUUAUUUUUUAAAUCCUGAGGACUAGCAUUAAUUGACAGCUGACCCAGGUGCUACACAGAAGUGGAUUCAGUGAAUCUAGGAAGACAGCAGCAGACAGGAUUCCAGGAACCAGUGUUUGAUGAAGCUAGGACUGAGGAGCAAGCGAGCAAGCAGCAGUUCGUGGUGAAGAUAGGAAAAGAGUCCAGGAGCCAGUGCGAUUUGGUGAAGGAAGCUAGGAAGAAGGAAGGAGCGCUAACGAUUUGGUGGUGAAGCUAGGAAAAAGGAUUCCAGGAAGGAGCGAGUGCAAUUUGGUGAUGAAGGUAGCAGGCGGCUUGGCUUGGCAACCACACGGAGGAGGCGAGCAGGCGUUGUGCGUAGAGGAUCCUAGACCAGCAUGCCAGUGUGCCAAGGCCACAGGGAAAGCGAGUGGUUGGUAAAAAUCCGUGAGGUCGGCAAUAUGUUGUUUUUCUGGAACUUACUUAUGGUAACCUUUUAUUUAUUUUCUAAUAUAAUGGGGGAGUUUCGUACUGAGGUGUAAAGGGAUUUAUAUGGGGACGUAGGCCGAUUUCCGGGUGUUGUAGGUUUCUCUUUUUCAGGCUUAUACUCAUGAAUCUUGUCUGAAGCUUUUGAGGGCAGACUGCCAAGUCCUGGAGAAAUAGUAGAUGGCAAGUUUGUGGGUUUUUUUUUUUUACACGAAUUUGAGGAAAACCAAAUGAAUUUGAUAGCCAAAUUGAGACAAUUUCAGCAAAUCUGUAAGCAGUUUGUAUGUUUAGUUGGGGUAAUGAAGUAUUUCAGUUUUGUGAAUAGAUGACCUGUUUUUACUUCCUCACCCUGAAUUCGUUUUGUAAAUGUAGAGUUUGGAUGUGUAACUGAGGCGGGGGGGAGUUUUCAGUAUUUUUUUUUGUGGGGGUGGGGGCAAAAUAUGUUUUCAGUUCUUUUUCCCUUAGGUCUGUCUAGAAUCCUAAAGGCAAAUGACUCAAGGUGUAACAGAAAACAAGAAAAUCCAAUAUCAGGAUAAUCAGACCACCACAGGUUUACAGUUUAUAGAAACUAGAGCAGUUCUCACGUUGAGGUCUGUGGAAGAGAUGUCCAUUGGAGAAAUGGCUGGUAGUUACUCUUUUUUCCCCCCACCCCCUUAAUCAGACUUUAAAAGUGCUUAACCCCUUAAACUUGUUAUUUUUUACUUGAAGCAUUUUGGGAUGGUCUUAACAGGGAAGAGAGAGGGUGGGGGAGAAAAUGUUUUUUUCUAAGAUUUUCCACAGAUGCUAUAGUACUAUUGACAAACUGGGUUAGAGAAGGAGUGUACCGCUGUGCUGUUGGCACGAACACCUUCAGGGACUGGAGCUGCUUUUAUCCUUGGAAGAGUAUUCCCAGUUGAAGCUGAAAAGUACAGCACAGUGCAGCUUUGGUUCAUAUUCAGUCAUCUCAGGAGAACUUCAGAAGAGCUUGAGUAGGCCAAAUGUUGAAGUUAAGUUUUCCAAUAAUGUGACUUCUUAAAAGUUUUAUUAAAGGGGAGGGGCAAAUAUUGGCAAUUAGUUGGCAGUGGCCUGUUACGGUUGGGAUUGGUGGGGUGGGUUUAGGUAAUUGUUUAGUUUAUGAUUGCAGAUAAACUCAUGCCAGAGAACUUAAAGUCUUAGAAUGGAAAAAGUAAAGAAAUAUCAACUUCCAAGUUGGCAAGUAACUCCCAAUGAUUUAGUUUUUUUCCCCCCAGUUUGAAUUGGGAAGCUGGGGGAAGUUAAAUAUGAGCCACUGGGUGUACCAGUGCAUUAAUUUGGGCAAGGAAAGUGUCAUAAUUUGAUACUGUAUCUGUUUUCCUUCAAAGUAUAGAGCUUUUGGGGAAGGAAAGUAUUGAACUGGGGGUUGGUCUGGCCUACUGGGCUGACAUUAACUACAAUUAUGGGAAAUGCAAAAGUUGUUUGGAUAUGGUAGUGUGUGGUUCUCUUUUGGAAUUUUUUUCAGGUGAUUUAAUAAUAAUUUAAAACUACUAUAGAAACUGCAGAGCAAAGGAAGUGGCUUAAUGAUCCUGAAGGGAUUUCUUCUGAUGGUAGCUUUUGUAUUAUCAAACAGGUAUCUCUUCGUUAUCAGAAGAGUUGCUUCAUUUCAUCUGGGAGCAGAAAACAGCAGGCAGCUGUUAACAGAUAAGUUUAACUUGCAUCUGCAGUAUUGCAUGUUAGGGAUAAGUGCUUAUUUUUAAGAGCUGUGGAGUUCUUAAAUAUCAACCAUGGCACUUUCUCCUGACCCCUUCCCUAGGGGAUUUCAGGAUUGAGAAAUUUUUCCAUCGAGCCUUUUUAAAAUUGUAGGACUUGUUCCUGUGGGCUUCAGUGAUGGGAUAGUACACUUCACUCAGAGGCAUUUGCAUCUUUAAAUAAUUUCUUAAAAGCCUCUAAAGUGAUCAGUGCCUUGAUGCCAACUAAGGAAAUUUGUUUAGCAUUGAAUCUCUGAAGGCUCUAUGAAAGGAAUAGCAUGAUGUGCUGUUAGAAUCAGAUGUUACUGCUAAAAUUUACAUGUUGUGAUGUAAAUUGUGUAGAAAACCAUUAAAUCAUUCAAAAUAAUAAACUAUUUUUAUUAGAGAAUGUAUACUUUUAGAAAGCUGUCUCCUUAUUUAAAUAAAAUAGUGUUUGUCUGUAGUUCAGUGUUGGGGCAAUCUUGGGGGGGAUUCUUCUCUAAUCUUUCAGAAACUUUGUCUGCGAACACUCUUUAAUGGACCAGAUCAGGAUUUGAGCGGAAGAACGAAUGUAACUUUAAGGCAGGAAAGACAAAUUUUAUUCUUCAUAAAGUGAUGAGCAUAUAAUAAUUCCAGGCACAUGGCAAUAGAGGCCCUCUAAAUAAGGAAUAAAUAACCUCUUAGACAGGUGGGAGAUUAUGAUCAGAGUAAAAGGUAAUUACACAUUUUAUUUCCAGAAAGUCAGGGGUCUAUAAAUUGACAGUGAUUAGAGUAAUACUUUUUCACAUUUCCAAAGUUUGCAUGUUAACUUUAAAUGCUUACAAUCUUAGAGUGGUAGGCAAUGUUUUACACUAUUGACCUUAUAUAGGGAAGGGAGGGGGUGCCUGUGGGGUUUUAAAGAAUUUUCCUUUGCAGAGGCAUUUCAUCCUUCAUGAAGCCAUUCAGGAUUUUGAAUUGCAUAUGAGUGCUUGGCUCUUCCUUCUGUUCUAGUGAGUGUAUGAGACCUUGCAGUGAGUUUAUCAGCAUACUCAAAAUUUUUUUCCUGGAAUUUGGAGGGAUGGGAGGAGGGGGUGGGGCUUACUUGUUGUAGCUUUUUUUUUUUUUACAGACUUCACAGAGAAUGCAGUUGUCUUGACUUCAGGUCUGUCUGUUCUGUUGGCAAGUAAAUGCAGUACUGUUCUGAUCCCGCUGCUAUUAGAAUGCAUUGUGAAACGACUGGAGUAUGAUUAAAAGUUGUGUUCCCCAAUGCUUGGAGUAGUGAUUGUUGAAGGAAAAAAUCCAGCUGAGUGAUAAAGGCUGAGUGUUGAGGAAAUUUCUGCAGUUUUAAGCAGUCGUAUUUGUGAUUGAAGCUGAGUACAUUUUGCUGGUGUAUUUUUAGGUAAAAUGCUUUUUGUUCAUUUCUGGUGGUGGGAGGGGACUGAAGCCUUUAGUCUUUUCCAGAUGCAACCUUAAAAUCAGUGACAAGAAACAUUCCAAACAAGCAACAGUCUUCAAGAAAUUAAACUGGCAAGUGGAAAUGUUUAAACAGUUCAGUGAUCUUUAGUGCAUUGUUUAUGUGUGGGUUUCUCUCUCCCCUCCCUUGGUCUUAAUUCUUACAUGCAGGAACACUCAGCAGACACACGUAUGCGAAGGGCCAGAGAAGCCAGACCCAGUAAGAAAAAAUAGCCUAUUUACUUUAAAUAAACCAAACAUUCCAUUUUAAAUGUGGGGAUUGGGAACCACUAGUUCUUUCAGAUGGUAUUCUUCAGACUAUAGAAGGAGCUUCCAGUUGAAUUCACCAGUGGACAAAAUGAGGAAAACAGGUGAACAAGCUUUUUCUGUAUUUACAUACAAAGUCAGAUCAGUUAUGGGACAAUAGUAUUGAAUAGAUUUCAGCUUUAUGCUGGAGUAACUGGCAUGUGAGCAAACUGUGUUGGCGUGGGGGUGGAGGGGUGAGGUGGGCGCUAAGCCUUUUUUUAAGAUUUUUCAGGUACCCCUCACUAAAGGCACCGAAGGCUUAAAGUAGGACAACCAUGGAGCCUUCCUGUGGCAGGAGAGACAACAAAGCGCUAUUAUCCUAAGGUCAAGAGAAGUGUCAGCCUCACCUGAUUUUUAUUAGUAAUGAGGACUUGCCUCAACUCCCUCUUUCUGGAGUGAAGCAUCCGAAGGAAUGCUUGAAGUACCCCUGGGCUUCUCUUAACAUUUAAGCAAGCUGUUUUUAUAGCAGCUCUUAAUAAUAAAGCCCAAAUCUCAAGCGGUGCUUGAAGGGGAGGGAAAGGGGGAAAGCGGGCAACCACUUUUCCCUAGCUUUUCCAGAAGCCUGUUAAAAGCAAGGUCUCCCCACAAGCAACUUCUCUGCCACAUCGCCACCCCGUGCCUUUUGAUCUAGCACAGACCCUUCACCCCUCACCUCGAUGCAGCCAGUAGCUUGGAUCCUUGUGGGCAUGAUCCAUAAUCGGUUUCAAGGUAACGAUGGUGUCGAGGUCUUUGGUGGGUUGAACUAUGUUAGAAAAGGCCAUUAAUUUGCCUGCAAAUUGUUAACAGAAGGGUAUUAAAACCACAGCUAAGUAGCUCUAUUAUAAUACUUAUCCAGUGACUAAAACCAACUUAAACCAGUAAGUGGAGAAAUAACAUGUUCAAGAACUGUAAUGCUGGGUGGGAACAUGUAACUUGUAGACUGGAGAAGAUAGGCAUUUGAGUGGCUGAGAGGGCUUUUGGGUGGGAAUGCAAAAAUUCUCUGCUAAGACUUUUUCAGGUGAACAUAACAGACUUGGCCAAGCUAGCAUCUUAGCGGAAGCUGAUCUCCAAUGCUCUUCAGUAGGGUCAUGAAGGUUUUUCUUUUCCUGAGAAAACAACACGUAUUGUUUUCUCAGGUUUUGCUUUUUGGCCUUUUUCUAGCUUAAAAAAAAAAAAAGCAAAAGAUGCUGGUGGUUGGCACUCCUGGUUUCCAGGACGGGGUUCAAAUCCCUGCGGCGUCUUUGCUUUGACUACUAAUCUGUCUUCAGGACUCUUUCUGUAUUUCUCCUUUUCUCUGCAGGUGCUAGUUCUUGGAGUUUUGGGGAGGUGGGAGGUAACAGCACAAUAUCUUUGAACUAUAUACAUCCUUGAUGUAUAAUUUGUCAGGAGCUUGACUUGAUUGUAUAUUCAUAUUUACACGAGAACCUAAUAUAACUGCCUUGUCUUUUUCAGGUAAUAGCCUGCAGCUGGUGUUUUGAGAAGCCCUACUGCUGAAAACUUAACAAUUUUGUGUAAUAAAAAUGGAGAAGCUCUAA
ensembl:lncRNA MALAT1 metastasis associated lung adenocarcinoma transcript 1